GAAUCAUUUUCUUCGGAGCUUGGAUUCUGGGUGGGAGGGAGGCAAGGAAGAUGAUGGCAAGGGAAGAACGAAUCGCGUGCUAACGCAAAACUAAAGCAGGCGUUACUGGUGUGGUGGUUGUUGCAUUUACGACGGCAAACGUGCGGUCAGAGUAAUCGACUAUUGCCGGUUGAAUAUUUUAAACAACGACGCGAUGAAUAACAUAUUUUUGUUGAUCAUGUGAAAAGACAAGGAUUUAUGAGGUCAACAGAAUUUUUUAAUUAACUGCGAAAGAAACCAGGGCCCGGCCAAAAACACUCCUACGAGACGAUGUCAAACAUGCGGCGAAGAUUUUUUCUCAUGAGUCUCGUUAUACGACGGCGUGUUUCGGCUAAGAUUUGUCAGUGAAACCGGUGCCAAUGAGCGUUAAUAUAUGGCGGCGCGAGUAUUUUUGCUUAGUAUCUUGUUUACAGAAGUACUAAAGCCCGCUUGUGCUGCAGGUGUCAAAGGUAUUGGAACAAAUAUAAAUAAUAGAAAUGUAUCUAAAUCGGAUGGUUCUGAUGCAGAUUCGACAAAAGGUUUUACUGCGACAACAGAAAUAGAACCUAGUGGUCAUGUAAUAUUGGGAAAGAAAUCGAUAAUACUUAAUUGUUUAGCUGAUACUAAUCAAACUAUUUCUUGGUUACGUAAUGGAAAACCAAUACCACCAUGUGGUUCUACCCGAUGCUCUGUACAACGUAAUGGAUCUCUUCUUUACAUUAAGAAACAAAAUUUUCAAAAGUCACAAAAGUUCAAAGAAAAAGAAAAUACCAGCCUUACUAAUAUUAAGAGUCAUAUUAAAGAUGAAUAUCGUUGUAUAACACAAACUGAUUCUGGACUAUUGAGAUCUUCGCCAACAUUCAUUGAAAUAGCAGAACUUGGCCAUGUAUUUAAAGAAUCACCAGAGAAUGUAACCGUUCAAGAAGGCGAAGUAGUAAGAUUGUCUUGUAUCAUAGAUAGUGUUCCCUUUCCAUCUAACGUUACAUGGGAACAUAAUGGAAAAUCAGUUCUGCUUAAUCUUAAUAAUUCAAAAUAUUCAAUGGUAUCACCAGGUGUUCUGUAUAUAAGUACAACACAAUUAUCAGAUGCUGGUUCUUAUAGAUGUGUAGUGACUAAUGAAUUCCUAAAAAAAACCAAAAAAAGUAAAGAGGCACAACUGACUGUUAUUGCUAGAUCGGAGGAUGAAAAAUCACAUAAAUCAUCAUCAUUAUUUCCACAAACGUCAUAUAACCAUUCGCUACUUAAUGGAUCAAGCCUUAAUCUAGCAUGUGCUGCAUCUGGUUAUCCACUGCCUCUUAUAACAUGGACUUUCAUACCUCGAUAUACAGGUAACAGCAAUGUUCCACAACCUCGCAUUCUUGUUAAUUCUACUACUGGCAUUGCUAUAUUAGAAUUAAGAAAUGUAAGCAUUUUUGAUGCUGGCAUCUAUACUUGUUCUUCAAAAAAUUCGAUAACAAAUGAUUUGGAAAUUCAGAAUAUAACUGUAGAUAUAUCGGUACCUCCAUCAUUCUUGAAAACUCCUGUAAAUCGAGUUUGUCCAAAUGGAAAAACUGCAAGAUUUGAGUGUCAGGCACAGGGUUUACCUGAACCACAAAUUUAUUGGCUAAAGGAUUCUCUAAAUGUUACAGUCAAUGGACGUAGAACAAUUUACGUAAAAGAUAACAACAAAAGGGAAUUGGCAAUUUCGGCAACAGUUCCAUCAGAUUCUGGUCUGUAUCAAUGUGUAGCUGUAAAUUCAGCAGGAGAAAUAUGGGCUGCUGGUCGGCUUCGAGUAAAUUCAUCUCGCAAUAGUCCUGCUGCACCUACCUCUUUAAAAUGUCACGCUGUGUCCCCAGUUAGAAUUUUGAUUUCAUGGGAACCACCAAAGUCUCUACCGUAUACCAGUAUUACAGCUUAUACCGUCCAUUAUAGCCCUGCUGAAGGUGGUAAAGAAGAAAUUUCUCCUCCUGAGCCAGGAAAUUCCACAUCUGUAGAAGUAACAAAACUUUUAGAACCAUUUACAAAUUAUUCCUUUUACGUACGAGUAUGGAACAUAUAUGGCGCUAGCGAUCAAUCUGCCACCAUCUUGUGUACUACAGCUCCAAGUGUUCCUAAAAGCACACCGAAAAUAAAUCUAAAUAUUAUUAGUAAUACAAAAUUAAACGUAUCAUGGGAGCCUUUAACAGAAAAGGAAUCACGUGGCACCGUGGUAGAAUAUAAAUUACAAUGGAGAUUACAUCAGCAUCCAUCAUCCAGAGUAGUUUUUCUACCUGCUAAUUUUGAAUAUUAUAUUCUUUCUGAUUUAAUAAGAGGAGCUAAAUAUGAUGUACGAAUAAUAGCAAGAACAAAACAGGGAUGGCCUAAUUUGAGUGAAAUGCAAUUAAAUUGGAGCACUGUAACAAUGCCUUCUAUAGAUUCUAAUGAAUUUAACAUUAGAAAUUUUGUAGACAUGCAAUUAUUAAGUACCAAGAUUUCAUCAGUUAAAGUCAUCUGGAAAAUAGAUUCGAAAGAAAACAGUAAAGUUGAGCCAGAAUUCGAUUCUUGGCAAAUUUACUGCGAAGAUUCAGAUGGAUACAAAUUAUUAACAGUUUCUCUUCCACGAAAUGCUACAGAAUAUACAUUAGCCAAUAAUCUUGAAAGGAAUUGUUCUUACACUGUGGGUCUUUGUAUGGUAAAUUCUGGCGAAGUAAAAUAUUGUUUAACCAAAAUCAUUGAUGUUACUCAUUCUGGUUCCAGUAAUGUAUUCAUGGCUUUGGAGGCUAUUCCUGUUUCAUCUACCUCUAUAAAUGUUACGUGGACAGUAACUGAAAUGCAUAGUGCACAUUCCUUUGAACUUUGCUAUCAUGCGGUUCAUAUUGAAAAUUCUGAGGAAUCCAAAUGCAUUACAUUAGAUGAUACUAAGAUGACUGUUGAUAAGUUGAAACCAUUUACAUUGUAUCAAUUUAAAGUAAGAAUGAUAAGACACGAAAAUAAUCAAAGUUACAUUUACAGUGAAUCUGUUGAAUGUUAUACUUAUGAAGAUGUUCCUGGAAAAGUUGAAGAUAUUCAGUGGUUUUUGGGUAACAAUACUAAAGUUCGUAUUGCAUGGAAAGAACCGAGUAGUAUAAAUGGAGUGAUACAAAAUUAUUUUGUUGCGUAUACCAUGGAUUUAAUGGACCCUAUUGAAAGUUGGGGAAAUGUAACAGUUCCUGGAAAUAAAACAUCAACUACUCUUCCAGGUUUAGUUCCAGGAAAACGAUAUUUUGUAAUUGUACAAGCAGCUACAAAAGCGGGUUAUGGUAAAUCAUCAGAUCCUAUAAUAAUUAUUACUGGUGGUACAGCAAUCAAAAUUCCUACAUCAUCGAACGAACAAAAGCCACCGCAAAAUAUUAAACCUGAUCAAAGCUUAGGUAUUAUCCUGGGUGUAAGCAUAAGCAUAGUAUUAAUAACAAUUUGCUUAUGUAGCAUUUAUUGUCGAAAUAAAUGCGAGAGUUCUCGAUCUUUAAGAGAUGGUGCUCAACCUCUAAAAGGACGUAUUUUAGUGCGAAACGGAAAUGGAUGUUGUAUCGAAUCUACUGCUCCUGUAAAUCAACAAAUGAAUGUUACAGUUUCUUCUAAUGAUGUUGAACUUGCUGGUCUUUGUCCAUCUUCGCCAGUUUCAAAUCCACAUUCAGAUACCAAAGGAGGACAUACCAAUGGUGUUGUGGAACCUUGCGUAAAGGAACCAUUAUUAUCACCUUGGGAUGUAAAUGGAGAAUCAAAGAAUAUUUGUCUUACGGAAAACCCUCAGUACAAAAGGCGUGAUAGUACCGUUUUAAGAAAAAAUGAUGAAGAAAGCCAAGAUUUGGAUGACACACAGUUUACUAUGGUCAAUUGUACUUUAGACAGUAACAGUGGCAGCCUAAAUAAUAAUUCAGGAUGUCAAGAUAAUGAUAUAUCAUCAGAAAACGUUACCUGCACAUCUGUUCCAGUACUUGGACCAAAUGGAUGAAUACGCUCUAACGAUCUUGGCUGUUUUGCAUUUGCGUGAAUUGGAAUACAGCAGAAAUCCUCUGAAUGUAAAAAGGCAAGUUUAAUAUUGUAAAAUAAGAUGAGUAUUACAAAUGAACUUACUUAUACAUUAAUUUAGAUACACAGAACGAUUAUAUACAUAUAUAUAUAAUAGAUCCUCAUG
rnacentral:misc_RNA from 1 species